rnacentral:rRNA from 1 species
AGUGAACGCUGGCGGUAGGCCUAACACAUGCAAGUCGAACGGCAGCACAGUAAGAGCUUGCUCUUACGGGUGGCGAGUGGCGGACGGGUGAGGAAUACAUCGGAAUCUACUUUUUCGUGGGGGAUAACGUAGGGAAACUUACGCUAAUACCGCAUACGACCUACGGGUGAAAGCAGGGGAUCUUCGGACCUUGCGCGAUUGAAUGAGCCGAUGUCGGAUUAGCUAGUUGGGGGGGUAAAGGCCCACCAAGGCGACGAUCCGUAGCUGGUCUGAGAGGAUGAUCAGCCACACUGGAACGGAGACACGGUCCAGACUCCUACGGGAGGCAGCAGUGGGGAAUAUUGGACAAAGGGCGCAAGCCUGAUCCAGCCAUACCGCGUGGGUGAAGAAGGCCUUCGGGUUGUAAAGCCCUUUUGUUGGGAAAGAAAAGCAGCAGGUUAAUACCCCGCUGUUCUGACGGUACCCAAAGAAUAAGCACCGGCUAACUUCGUG